rnacentral:misc_RNA from 1 species
GAAAUGCGAUAAGUAAUGUGAAUUGCAGAAUUCAGUGAAUCAUCGAAUCUUUGAACGCACAUUGCGCCCACCAGUAUUCUGGCGGGCAUGCCUGUUCGAGCGUCAUUUCAACCAUCAAGCCCCGCGCUUGUGUUGGGGACCUGCGGCUGCCGCAGGCCCUGAAAACCAGUGGCGGGCUCGCUGUCACACCGGGCGUAGUAGAUUUUAUCUCGCUCAGGGCGUGCUGCGGGUUCCGGCCGUUAAAAAGCCUUUUUUACCCAAGGUUGACCUCGGAUCAGGUAGGAAGACCCGCUGAACUUAAGC